rnacentral:rRNA from 1 species
UUGAUCCUGGCUCAGGAUGAACGCUAGCGGCAGGCUUAACACAUGCAAGUCGAGGGGUAUUGGUUUUCGGACCAAGAGACCGGCGCACGGGUGCGUAACGCGUAUGCAAUCUACCUUUCACAGAGGGAUAGCCCAGAGAAAUUUGGAUUAAUACCUCAUAGUAUUAUAGAGUGGCAUCACUCUAUAAUUAAAGUCACAACGGUGAAAGAUGAGCAUGCGUCCCAUUAGCUAGUUGGUAAGGUAACGGCUUACCAAGGCUACGAUGGGUAGGGGUCCUGAGAGGGAGAUCCCCCACACUGGUACUGAGACACGGACCAGACUCCUACGGGAGGCAGCAGUGAGGAAUAUUGGACAAUGGGCGCAAGCCUGAUCCAGCCAUGCCGCGUGCAGGAUGACGGUCCUAUGGAUUGUAAACUGCUUUUGUACAGGAAGAAACAGUUCUACGUGUAGAACCUUGACGGUACUGUAAGAAUAA